rnacentral:rRNA from 1 species
UUAUCUUAGCGGCGGACGGGUGAGUAACGUGUGGGUAACCUGCCUUUUACUGUGGAAUAAUCGUUGGAAACGACGACUAAUACCGCAUACGGUUCUUGGAAGGCAUCUUCUAAGAAAGAAAGGAGUAAUUCGGUAAAAGAUGGGCCCGCAUCUGAUUAGCUAGUUGGUGAGAUAAUAGCCCACCAAGGCAACGAUCAGUAGCCGACCUGAGAGGGUGACCGGCCACAUUGGGACUGAGACACGGCCCAAACUCCUACGGAAGGCAGCAG